rnacentral:SRP_RNA from 1 species
CCGUGCUAGAUGGGGAGAUAGCGGUGCCCUGAACCCGCAAUCCGCUAUAGCGGGAUCGAAUUCCUCCCCGAGGCUGACCCUCAGGUCUCUGUGACCGGUUAGGGUGCUGAGAGCUUGGUCCUGCGCGGCGGAACCCCGCGAACCCCGUCAGGUCCGGAAGGAAGCAGCGGUAAGGGGGCUGUUUCGAGCGCCGUAGGUUCACCGAGUUUGAGCCUUACCGGAAAGCAUGCUUUGAGGUAUUUGGUCAAAGGGCGGUGCACGG